UAGAUAGGCUCCUCCACUGAACAUACAGAAACAAGAAGGGCAAAGAAGAUAAGCAAGAAGAAUGUUCUAGGAGAUUGAAAGACAACCUUCCUCCUAGAAGCCUCUUUCUUGUCUUGCUUGGCUGAAGAGUUUGUAGCCAUACAAGAAUCGGAGAAGCGAUGUCUGUGUGGUGGUAGCUUCAGGGGUUUGGUGGUAGCAGCAAAGACAAAUCUUAAUGGCGGUGGUGGGCAUGUCUUAGGAUUUGGAGCUAGUGGUAGUGGAUGUGCUGCUGCUGGUGGUGGUGGUGUAUGAGGGGUUCAAGUGUUUUGGAGGAGGUGGUGGUGGAGGGAAAUGGAAGGCAAUAACUCUAGCCGGAGGAGGAGGAAAAGAAGAGGAAAAAAAAGUUUAGAGCAAUCUUUUCUUCGUCUGCCCGUUUCACGCCACAUCAUCAUCCAUUAGACGUUCCCUGGUAGCAUGUGAUCAUUUCCU
rnacentral:lncRNA from 1 species